CGGACGGGUGAGUAACGCGUGGAAAACCUGCCGUAUACUGGGGGAUAACACUUAGAAAUAGUGCUAAUACCGCAUAAGCGCACAGCUUUGCAUGAAGCGGUGUGAAAAACUCUGGUGGUAUACGAUGGUUCCGCGUCUGAUUAGCUAGUUGGUGGGGUAAUGGCCUACCAAGGCAACGAUCAGUAGCCGGCCUGAGAGGGUGAACGGCCACAUUGGGACUGAGACACGGCCCAAACUCCUACGGGAGGCAGCAG
rnacentral:rRNA from 1 species